CUCACCUGGUACUGUAUUUACUGAUGUCAGCCAUCUUGGUUGGUAGCCGGGGUCAUUAGACACUUUUUUUAAAAUAGAUACCCUUGUAAUGAUUGUGGCCAAGUUUGGUUAAAUUUGGCCCAUAGUUUUAGAAAAGAAGAUUUUUGUACAAGUUACAAAAAUGACGAAAAGUUGUUCAAUAUUGACUAUAAAGGACAAUAACUCCUUAAGGGGUUCUCUGACAAUUUUGAUCAUGUUGACUUAUUUGUAGAUCUUACUUUGCUGAACAUUAUUGCUGUUUACAGUUUAUCUCUAUCUAUAAUAGUAUUCAAGAUAAUAACCAAAAACUGCAAAAUUUCC
rnacentral:lncRNA from 1 species